GGAGAUAUAGCUCAGUUGGUAGAGUGCUUGCCUUGCAUGCACAAGAUCCUGGGUUAAAUCCUCAGCACCACUA
rnacentral:tRNA from 1 species